rnacentral:rRNA from 1 species
AUGGAGGCCCGAACCCGUUCGUCGUACAACGCGUUGGGAUGACUUGUGGUAAGGAGUGAAAAGCUAAUCGAACCUGGUAAUAGCUGGUUCUCUCCGAAAUAGCUUUAGGGCUAGCGUCGCAUGUUCCUUUUGGGGGUAGAGCACUGGAAGGUUUCGACAGGGAGCAAUCUCGCGAAACCUAUCAAACUCCGAAUACCAAAAGCCAUAAUGCGGCAGUUACACUAUGGGGGCGAAGCUCCAUUGGUGAAAAGGGAAACAGCCCAGAUCUCAAAAUAAGGUCCCUAAAUAUAUACUAAGUGUAAAACAAGAAGGUGAGAUUUCUUAGACAAUGAGGAGGUUGGCUUAGAAGCAGCCAUCCUUUAAAGAUAGCGUAACAGCUCACUCAUCUAGAGAUUUUGCGUCGAAAAUAAUUGGGGCUAAGUAUAUUACCGAAUUUGAGGAUUCGUACUACGAUUUAUCGAAGUAUGAGUGGUAGGAGAGUGUUCCAAUCUGCAGUGAAGGAGGACCCGUGAGGGCUUCUGGAGCGUUUGGAAGUAAAAAUGUUGGCACAAGUAACCGCAAUGGGGUUGAGAACACCCCACGUCGAAAGAUCAAGGUUUCCUUGGUAAUGUCAAUCAGCCAAGGGUUAGUCGGUCCUAAGGGGAUGGUGAAAACCGAACUCGAUGGACAUAAGGUUAAUAUUCCUUAACUUCUGUAUUUUGUGAUGGAAGGACGGAGUGUAGUAUAUAUUGCUAGUUAUUGGAUUUUAGUUUGUAUUUUAAUUGUCCUCUAUAGGCAAAUCCGUAGAGUACCUUAAAUGGUAAAUGAAAGAAAUGCAUAAAAUUUAUUCCUACGGGAAUAGAUAAUAAUAUAAAGCACGCUUCCAAGAAAAUUUUCUAAACUUAAGAAUACAGAAACCGUACCGCAAACCGACACAGGUGAUCAGGUCGAGUAGACCAAGACGAACGAGUGAGUGGUCCUCAAGGAACUCGGCAAAAAAACAGCCGUAACUUCGGGAUAAGGCUUGCCCUUUCAUCGCAAGAUGGAGGGGCCGCAGCGAAAGUAUUCCUGCCAACUGUUUACCAAAAACACAGCUCCCUGCGAACUCGAAAGAGGAUGUAUAGGGGGUGACACCUGACCAAUGCCAGAAGGUUAAAUAUCGGCGUUCUUUCCUUGUCGCAAGAUAAGGAAAGGGUGACUGAUAUAAGCCCUGGUGAAUGUCGGCCGUAACUAUAACGGUCCUAAGGUAGCGAAAUACCUUGUCGGGUAAGUUCCGACGCGCACGAAUGGUGUAAUGAGUGGGAAACUGUCUCGAGGACCAGCUCGGUGAAAAUACAAUACCGGUGAAGAUGCCGGUUAAGUGCAGUUAGACGAAAAGACCCUAGAAGCUUUACUAUAACUUGAUAUUGGGUAUGUUAUUUUUCUGCGUAGAAUAUAAGGGAGACUUUGAAGUAAUUUUUUCGGGAAUUAUGGAGUCGACAGUGCAAUACCUUACUUAAAAAUGGCAUAUCCUAACCAAUACGGCAAAAACGUAUUGAGACAGUAUCUGGUGGAUAGUUUUACUGGGGCUGUACCCUCCUAAAGAGUAAAGGAGGGGUUUAAAGGUCAUCUAGGCGCGAAUGGAAACCGUGCCGAUAGUGUAAUGGCAUAAGAUGGCUUGACUGUAAGGAGGACAUUCCAAGCAGGUGGGAAACCAGAACAUAGUGAUCCGACCAUACGUAUUAGAUGCGGUGGGAGCUCAACGGAUAAAAGCUACUCUAGGGAUAACAGGCUAGUUCCGCCCAAGAGUUCAUAUCGACGGCGGAGUUCGGCACCUCGAUGUCGGCUCACCUUAGCGCGGUGGUGGAGAAGCUACCAAGCGUAUGGCUGUUCGCCAUUUAAAAAGGUACGCGAGCUGGGUUCAGACCGUGGAGGAGUUGUAUCAUGUAGCAAUACAUAUCGCGACUUUUCCACAGUCUGAAUCCUCAGAGGAAGAUAAUUUGAAUAUGAAUUAGAACUGUUAUUAAAAUUGAAACCAACUAAGUACACAGUAUGUGUACGCACGGCGGUACUGAGACAUUUUGUCGAAGUAAGAAGUCGGGGUUUUCGGUAAAAUCCUAACGUGAAAACGAGGACAAUACCGAGAAGAAAAUUUUAUUUUCUUUGUAGAGACUACAAACCGACCCCUUAAAUUAAAUUUAUAGGGAAUGUAUAGUCCAAUCCCAUUAGUAA